GACGAACGCUGGCGGCGUGCUUAACACAUGCAAGUCGAACGGUGAAGCGCCUUCCUUUUUGGUGGGUGUGGAUGAGUGGCGAACGGGUGAGUAACACGUGAGUAACCUGCCCCCUUCUUCUGGAUAACCGCAUGAAAGUGUGGCUAAUACGGGAUAUUCUGGGUCUGUCGCAUGAUGGGUCUGGGAAAGAUAUUGUUUCGGUGGGGGAUGGGCUCGCGGCCUAUCAGCUUGUUGGUGGGGUGAUGGCCUACCAAGGCGGUGACGGGUAGCCGGCCUGAGAGGGUGGACGGUCUCGCUGUGGCUGAGGCACGGCCCAGACUCCUACGGUUGGCAGCAGUGGGGAAUAUUGCACAAUGGGCGCAAGCCUGAUGCAGCGACGCCGCGUGAGGGAUGGAGGCCUUCGGGUUGUGAACCUCUUUCGCCAGUGAAGCAGGCCUGCCUCGUUUGUGGGUGGGUUGACGGUAGCUGGAUAAGAAGCGCCGGCUAACUACGUG
rnacentral:rRNA from 1 species